rnacentral:rRNA from 1 species
UACAGAGGUCUCGAGCGUUAGGCGGAAUCACUGGGCCUAAAGCGUGUGUAGGCGGAUCGGUAAGUACCUUGUGAAAUCCCACGGCUUAACCGUGGAACUGCUUGGUAUACUGCCAGUCUUGAGCCAGCUAGGGGCUACCGGAACAAAUGGUGGAGCGGUGAAAUGCGUAGAUAUCAUUUGGGACGCCAAUGGUGAAAACAGGUAGCUGGGGCUGUGCUGACGCUGAGACACGAAAGCCAGGGGAGCAAACGGG